ACUGAACGCUGGCGGCAGGCCUAACACAUGCAAGUCGAGCGAGCGGCGGACGGGUGAGAAACGUAUGGGGACUGCUCGAUAGAGGGGGAUAACUCCUGGAAACGGCGGCUAAUACCGCAUACUAUUGGAUAACCCAUAUGGGAUUAGCCAGUAGGUGGGGUAAAGGCUCACCUAGGAUACGAUCGCUAGCUGGUCUGAGAGGAUGAUCAGCCACACUGGGACUGAGACACGGCCCAGACUCCUACGGAGGCAGCAGUGGGGAUUAUUGCACAGUGGGCGCAAGCCUGAUGCAGCCAUGCCGCGUGUAUGAAAAAGGCCUUAGGGUUGUAAAGUACUUUCAGCAGGGAUGCGUUACCCGCUGAAGAAGCACCGGCUAACUCCGUGCCAGCAGCCGCGGUAAUAC
rnacentral:rRNA from 1 species